rnacentral:rRNA from 1 species
UACGGAGGGGGCUUGCGUUGUUCGGCAUUACUGGGCGUAAAGCGCGCGUAGGCGGACCGGUAAGUCGGGGGUGAAAGCCCGAGGCUCAACCUCGGAAUUGCCUCCUAUACUGCCAGUCUCGAGUCCGGGAGAGGUGAGUGGAAUUCCUAGUGUAGAGGUGAAAUUCGUAGAUAUUAGGAAGAACACCAGUGGCGAAGGCGGCUCACUGGCCCGGUACUGACGAUGAUGCGCGAGAGCGUGGGGAGCAAACAGG